CAUGGUUGUCGUCAGCUCGUGUCGUGAGAUGUUGGGGUUUAAAGUCCCCGCAACGAGCGCAACCCCUAUUGUUAGUUGCCAUCAUUCAGUUGGGCACUCUAGCGAGACUGCCGGUAAUAAACCGGAGGAAGGUGGGGAUGACGUCAAAUCAUCAUGCCCCUUAUGACCUGGGCUACACACGUGCUACAAUGGUUGGUACAACGAGUUGCGAGUCGGUGACGGCGAGCUAAUCUCUUAAAGCCAAAUCUCAGUUCGGAUUGUAGGCUGCAACUCGCCUACAUGAAGUCGGAAUCGCUAGUAAUCGCGGAUCAGCACGCCGCGGUGAAUACGUUCCCGGGCCUU
rnacentral:rRNA from 1 species